AGCUUUAAGCAGUGGCAGUAUCAUAGCCAAAGAGGUUUAACUAAGGCACGAUUAUUGCUAAUUACAAACCAAAAGUCAAUGUAGUUUUACAACACUAAGGCUUUUGGGACCCUCUGUAUGUGG
ensembl:snRNA U4 U4 spliceosomal RNA